AUCAGCCCCGGCGCUCUCUCAUCCCUUCUCUCUUCCUUGGUGCUUCUUUUUCCUGCUCGGUGAGUUUGUUUGUUUGUUUGUUUUUGAGACAGAGUCUCACUUUGCUUCCCAGGCUGGAGUGCAGUGGUGCGAUCUCAGCUUACUGCAGCCUCCGCUUCCGGGGUUCAAGCGAUUCUCCUGCCUCAGCCUGCCAAGUAGCUGGGACUACCGGCGCCCACCACCACGCCUGGCUAAUUUUUGAAUUUUUAGUAGAGAGUGGGUUUCACUAUGUUGGCCAGGCUGGUCUGGAACGCCUGACCUCAAGUGAUCCGUCCGCCUCGGCCUUCCAAAGUUCUGGGAUUACAGGCGUGAGCCACCGCGCCCGGCCUGAGUGAGUCUUAAUCCGUGGCCAUCUGCGUUCCUGCAGGCUUCAUCUGGCCCUAUGGUCCCCUGAUGAGAAGAAUAAUGUCUGGGGUGAAGGUGAAGCACCCAGCCCAAGACUCAGCAGCCAGGAAGUGGCCCAGCGCUCUUUAUACCACGGGUGCAGGAAUUCACACAGAAAAGUGGAGGCCAAGGCGUGAGAAUUCCUCAAUGACUGCCCUCUAAAGGAAGAG
rnacentral:lncRNA from 10 species